UAACGUGUAUUCUAUCCUAGGGUUAUUGUGUUUAGGGUUAUUCCGGUUAGUAUUAGUGUGUGUGUGUUAGGUAGAUACUGAUUGUAACGUGUAUUCUAUCCUAGGGUUAUUGUGUUUAGAGUUAUUCCGGUUAGUAUUAGUGUGUGUGUGUUAGGUAGAUACUGAUUGUAACGUGUAUUCUAUCCUAGGGUUAUUGUGUUUAGGGUUAUUCCGGUUAGUAUUAGUGUGUGUGUGUGUUAGGUAGAUACUGAUUGUAACGUGUAUUCUAUCCUAGGGUUAUUGUGUUUAGAGUUAUUCCGGUUAGUAUUAGUGUGUGUGUGUGUUAGGUAGAUACUGAUUGUAACGUGUAUUCUAUCCUAGGGUUAUUGUGUUUAGGGUUAUUCCGGUUAGUAUUAGUGUGUGUGUGUUAGGUAGAUACUGAUUGUAACGUGUAUUCUAUCUGUCCUAGGGUUAUUGUGUUUAGGGUUAUUCCGGUUAGUAUUAGUGUGUGUGUGUGUUAGGUAGAUACUGAUUGUAACGUGUAUUCUAUCCUAGGGUUAUUGUGUUUAGAGUUAUUCCGGUUAGUAUUAGUGUGUGUGUGUGUGUUAGGUAGAUACUGAUUGUAACGUGUAUUCUAUCUAUCCUAGGGUUAUUGUGUUUAGGGUUAUUCCGGUUAGUAUUAGUGUGUGUGUGUUAGGUAGAUACUGAUUGUAACGUGUAUUCUAUCCUAGGGUUAUUGUGUUUAGAGUUAUUCCGGUUAGUAUUAGUGUGUGUGUGUGUUAGGUAGAUACUGAUUGUAACGUGUAUUCUAUCCUAGGGUUAUUGUGUUUAGGGUUAUUCCGGUUAGUAUUAGUGUGUGUGUGUUAGGUAGAUACUGAUUGUAACGUGUAUUCUAUCUAUCCUAGGGUUAUUGUGUUUAGGGUUAUUCCGGUUAGUAUUAGUGUGUGUGUGUUAGGUAGAUACUGAUUGUAACGUGUAUUCUAUCCUAGGGUUAUUGUGUUUAGAGUUAUUCCGGUUAGUAUUAGUGUGUGUGUGUUAGGUAGAUACUGAUUGUAACGUGUAUUCUAUCUAUCCUAGGGUUAUUGUGUUUAGGGUUAUUCCGGUUAGUAUUAGUGUGUGUGUGUUAGGUAGAUACUGAUUGUAACGUGUAUUCUAUCUAUCCUAGGGUUAUUGUGUUUAGGGUUAUUCCGGUUAGUAUUAGUGUGUGUGUGUUAGGUAGAUACUGAUUGUAACGUGUAUUCUAUCCUAGGGUUAUUGUGUUUAGGGUUAUUCCGGUUAGUAUUAGUGUGUGUGUGUUAGGUAGAUACUGAUUGUAACGUGUAUUCUAUCCUAGGGUUAUUGUGUUUAGGGUUAUUCCGGUUAGUAUUAGUGUGUGUGUGUUAGGUAGAUACUGAUUGUAACGUGUAUUCUAUCCUAGGUUUAUUGUGUUUAGAGUUAUUCCGGUUAGUAUUAGUGUGUGUGUUAGGUAGAUACUGAUUGUAACGUGUAUUCUAUCCUAGGUUUAUUGUGUUUAGAGUUAUUCCGGUUAGUAUUAGUGUGUGUGUUAGGUAGAUACUGAUUGUAACGUGUAUUCUAUCCUAGGGUUAUUGUGUUUAGGGUUAUUCCGGUUAGUAUUAGUGUGUGUGUUAGGUAGAUACUGAUUGUAACGUGUAUUCUAUCCUAGGGUUAUUGUGUUUAGAGUUAUUCCGGUUAGUAUUAGUGUGUGUGUUAGGUAGAUACUGAUUGUAACGUGUAUUCUAUCUAUCCUAGGGUUAUUGUGUUUAGGGUUAUUCCGGUUAGUAUUAGUGUGUGUGUGUGUUAGGUAGAUACUGAUUGUAACGUGUAUUCUAUCCUAGGGUUAUUGUGUUUAGGGUUAUUCCGGUUAGUAUUAGUGUGUGUGUGUGUGGGGUAGAUACUGAUUGUAACGUGUAUUCUAUCCUAGGGUUAUUGUGUUUAGGGUUAUUCCGGUUAGUAUUAGUGUGUGUGUGUUAGGUAGAUACUGAUUGUAACGUGUAUUCUAUCUAUCCUAGGGUUAUUGUGUUUAGGGUUAUUCCGGUUAGUAUUAGUGUGUGUGUGUGGGGUAGAUACUGAUUGUAACGUGUAUUCUAUCCUAGGGUUAUUGUGUUUAGGGUUAUUCCGGUUAGUAUUAGUGUGUGUGUGUGUUAUUAUACUUAUUGUGGGUAUUGUACAGGUGUAGUUAUUAUACUUAUUGUGGGUAUUGUACAUGUGUAGUUAUUAUACUUAU